UCCCUGAGAAACCGGCUACCACAUCCAAGGAAGGCAACAGGCGCGGAAAUUACCCAAUCUAGACAGUAGGAGGUGGUGAAGAGAAUUACUAAGUGGUGGUUUUAAAAGCUACCAGCUUGGAAUGAACGUAACUUAAGCAAUUCGAUGAGAAACAACUGGAGGGCAAGUCCUGGUGCCAGCAGCCGCGGUAAUUCCAGCUCCAGUAGUUUGCUUUAAAGUUGUUGCGUUUAAAACGCUCGUAGUUGGAUCACGCAACAGUGUUACGUAAUCUUUCAUUAGUUGGUCGAUCGUUACGACCGUUUAUGACGGCGUACGUGACUCUGGCAAUGUCAGAUACAUACGCGUAACAUUGUUAGUUGCUCGUGAGAUGGUUUGUUGACCUUAGAUGCGUUGAUAUUCUUGUCUUGCGGAGUGUGCCUUGAAUAAAACAGAGUGCUUAAAGCAGGCGUAUGCUUGAAUGUUAUAGCAUGGAACGAACAAUCGUGUAUUCGUGUGCGCUGUUGGGUGGUGGUCGGCCCUAGGUUGGCCAUUGCCUGCGGUGUACAUAUCACCCACCAAAGUAUGGCUGUUGGUUCCAUAUACGGUGAUGAUUAAAAGGAGCGGUUGGGGGCAUCGGUAUUUGGCCGCGAGAGGUGAAAUUCUUGGACCGGCCAAGGACUAACAAAUGCAAAGGCACUUGUCCAGACCGUUUCCGUUAAUCAAGAACGAAAGUGGGAGGUUCGAAGACGAUCAGAUACCGUCCUAGUUCCCACUGUAAACUAUGCCGACCUGGGAUCAGUCUGCAGAUAUCACAAGCUGUAGAUUGGUCCCUCUGGGAAACUUGAAGUUUUUCGGUUACGGGGAGAGUAUGGUCGCAAGGCUGAAACUUAAAGGAAUUGACGGAAGGGCACCACCAGGGGUGGAGCCUGCGGCUUAAUUUGACUCAACACGGGGAAACUUACCUGGUCCGGACAUUGAUAGGAUACACCGACUAAUAGAUCUUUGUUGAUGCAAU
rnacentral:rRNA from 1 species